rnacentral:rRNA from 1 species
AACGAACGCUGGCGGCAGGCCUAACACAUGCAAGUCGAGCGCCCCGCAAGGGAGCGGCGGACGGGUGAGUAACGCGUGGGAACGUACCCUUUGCUACGGAAUAGCCUCGGGAAACUGGGAGUAAUACCGUAUGUGCCCUUCGGGGAAAGAUUAUCGGCAAAGGAUCGGCCCGCGUUGGAUUAGGUAGUUGGUGGGGUAAUGGCCUACCAAGCCGACGAUCCAUAGCUGGUUUGAGAGGAUGAUCAGCCACACUGGGACUGAGACACGGCCCAGACUCCUACGGGAGGCAGCAGUGGGGAAUCUUAGACAAUGGGCGCAAGCCUGAUCUAGCCAUGCCGCGUGAGCGAUGAAGGCCUUAGGGUUGUAAAGCUCUUUCAGUGGGGAAGAUAAUGACUGUACCCACAGAAGAAGCCCCGGCUAACUCCGUGCCAGCAGCCGCGGUAAU